CCUACGGGAGGCAGCAGUGGGGAAUAUUGCACAAUGGGCGAAAAGCCUGGUGCAGCAACGCCGCGUGAGGGACGACGGCCUUCGGGUUGUAAACCUCUUUUGGCAGGGAAGAAGCGAAAGUGACGGUACCUGCAGAAAAAGCACCGGCUAACUACGUGCCAGCAGCCGCGGUAAUACGUAGGGUGCAAGCGUUGUCCGGAAUUAUUGGGCGUAAAGAGCUCGUAGGCGGUUUGUCGCGUCUGCUGUGAAAACGCAAGGCUCAACCUUGCGCCUGCAGUGGGUACGGGCAGACUAGAGUGUGGUAGGGGAGAUUGGAAUUCCUGGUGUAGCGGUGGAAUGCGCAGAUAUCAGGAGGAACACCGAUGGCGAAGGCAGAUCUCUGGGCCAUUACUGACGCUGAGGAGCGAAAGCGUGGGGAGCGAACAGGAUUAGAUACCCUGGUAGUCCACGCCGUAAACGUUGGGAACUAGAUGUGGGGUCCAUUCCACGGAUUCCGUGUCGCAGCUAACGCAUUAAGUUCCCCGCCUGGGGAGUACGGCCGCAAGGCUAAAACUCAAUGAAUUGCGG
rnacentral:rRNA from 1 species